rnacentral:rRNA from 1 species
UUUAUGGAGAGUUUGAUCCUGGCUCAGGAUGAACGCUGGCGGCGUGCCUAAUACAUGCAAGUCGAGCGAACGUCAAAGGAGCUUGCUCCUUUGACGUUAGCGGCGGACGGGUGAGUAACACGUGGGUAACCUACCUAUAAGACUGGGAUAACUUCGGGAAACCGGAGCUAAUA